GACGAACGCUGGCGGCGUGCUUAACACAUGCAAGUCGAACGGAAAGGCCCUGCUUGCAGGGUACUCGAGUGGCGAACGGGUGAGUAACACGUGGGUGAUCUGCCCUGCACUUCGGGAUAAGCUUGGGAAACUGGGUCUAAUACCGGAUAGGAACCAUCUUUAGUGUGGUGGUUGGAAAGUUUUUUCGGUGUAGGAUGAGCUCGCGGCCUAUCAGCUUGUUGGUGGGGUAAUGGCCUACCAAGGCGGCGACGGGUAGCCGGCCUGAGAGGGUGUACGGCCACAUUGGGACUGAGAUACGGCCCAGACGCCUACGGGAGGCAGCAGUGGGGAAUAUUGCACAAUGGGCGCAAGCCUGAUGCAGCGACGCCGCGUGGGGGAUGAAGGCCUUCGGGUUGUAAACUCCUUUCGCUAGGGACGAAGCUUUUUGUGACGGUACCUAGAUAAGAAGCACCGGCUAACUACGUG
rnacentral:rRNA from 1 species